rnacentral:rRNA from 1 species
AGGAUAAACGCUGGCGGCGUGCCUAACACAUGCAAGUCGAACGUCCUACGCAAGUAGGGAGUGGCGGACGGGUGAGUAACACGUGGGCAAUCUACCUUUCGGUGAGGAAUACCGGCGAGAAAUCGCCGACAAUACCGCAUACGCUUCGCAAGAAGCAAAGUCGCAAGACGCCGGAGGAGGGGCCUGCGCCCGAUUAGCUGGUUGGUGGAGUAAUGGUCUACCAAGGCGACGAUCGGUAGCUGGUCUGAGAGGAUGAUCAGCCACACUGGGAUUGAGAACGGCCCAGACUCCUACGGGGGGCAGCAGUGGGGAAUAUUGCGCAAUGGGCGAAAGCCUGACGCAGCGACGCCGCGUGGGGGAUGAAGGCCUUCGGGUUGUAAACCCCUUUCAGCAGGGACGAAGCGAAAGUGACGGUACCUGCAGAAGAAGCGCCGGCUAACUACGUGCCAGCAGCCGC